CCGGGCUCUCCCAGCCCUCCCGGACACCAGAACCCACCCACCGAUCCCGCCGGUCUCCAGACUCUCCUCUGCAGUCUUACCACGCCCUCGACCUCUCACCCGCCACCUCCCCCGGGAACCUGCCAGCGGCCUCAGCGGGCAAGGCCAGCGCAGCCCUGGAACGCGGGAUCUAUGUUGACCCGGGAGAGCCGAGGAUGCAGGGCCCGGAUCUGUCCAGUCCCGGACGUGCUUCUGCCCGCAGGCCGCCAGCCAGGUCAUCAUUGGAUGACCCCCAAAGCCCAGAUGCCUGGCAGCACCUCUACCCGAGGCACAGAGAGGGGUGUGGACGGUGCUGAAUCCUGAGGCUGUGUGUUUGCACGGGUGGCCACUUGGAGUGCUGCAAAUCUUGGCAGUUAUGUUUGGGGUUAAAUCGCUGAGUGCAACCUUGAGAAAGGUAUUUCUCCCUCCUGCACAGUUACCUAACAGUGAUGAAAACCAGGCAGAACUA
rnacentral:lncRNA from 1 species